CAGACAACUUGAUACAGAGUAACAGUAAAUCAGACGGAGCAGCUCCUUCGGCACCAGCAGUGAAACUGUAACCCUGUUGCAAGUAUUCCUGGCCGCCGAUAGCGCCGAGUGAGAUCACCGCGGUCUCUUUCCUCGGCUCGACUCGAGAGUUGUUCGGCGGGAGCAACGCAGGGACCUCUCAUUUCUCAUUUCUGCUCUAUCUCAAUUAUUCUAUCACACUGGAAAUGUCCGAAAACAAGCCGAGUGAUGAGCCGAAGUUAUCUACGACGGACAGGGCGGUGAAAUCUGUCCCGUUCCCCCCCAGUCACCGGCUGACAGCUAAAGAGGUGUUUGACAGCGAUGGGAAACCCAAAGUGGACGUGCUAAAAGCCCACCUCACCAAGGAAGGCCGCGUGGAGGAAUCGGUGGCCCUGAGGCUCAUCGCAGAGGGCGGCUCGAUCUUGCGUGCGGAGCAGAACCUGCUGGACAUCGAGGCUCCUGUUACAGUGUGUGGAGACAUCCAUGGGCAGUUCUUUGACCUGAUGAAGCUGUUUGAAGUGGGAGGAUCACCAGCAUCCACGCGCUACCUUUUCCUGGGGGACUACGUCGACAGAGGGUAUUUCAGUAUUGAAUGUGUGCUGUACUUGUGGGCCUUAAAGAUCCUUUACCCCAAAACACUGUUUUUGCUGCGUGGGAAUCAUGAAUGUAGACAUUUAACAGAGUAUUUCACAUUUAAGCAGGAAUGUAGAAUUAAGUAUUCAGAGAGGGUGUAUGACGCAUGUAUGGACGCCUUCGACUGCCUUCCCCUGGCUGCACUUAUGAACCAGCAGUUCCUGUGUGUACACGGAGGACUGUCUCCAGAAAUCACAAAUCUUGACGACAUCAGGAAAUUAGACAGAUUCAAAGAGCCCCCAGCAUACGGACCAAUGUGUGAUCUGCUGUGGUCCGACCCCCUGGAGGACUUUGGGAAUGAGAAGAGCCAAGAGCAUUUCACACACAACACAGUGCGAGGCUGUUCCUACUUCUACAGCUACCCUGCAGUCUGUGACUUUCUACAACACAAUAACUUAUUAUCUGUCAUCCGGGCCCAUGAAGCGCAGGAUGCUGGAUACCGCAUGUACAGAAAGAGUCAGACCACUGGCUUCCCAUCCCUUAUCACCAUCUUCUCUGCACCCAACUACCUAGAUGUCUACAACAACAAAGCGGCAGUGCUGAAGUACGAGAACAACGUAAUGAACAUCCGACAGUUCAACUGCUCACCUCACCCUUACUGGCUGCCCAACUUCAUGGACGUUUUCACCUGGUCCCUGCCCUUCGUCGGGGAGAAGGUGACUGAGAUGCUUGUGAACGUGUUGAGCAUCUGCUCCAGCGAUGAGCUGACGACUGACGAGGAGCUGGACGGACAGCAAAUAUAUCCCCCCAAAAAAGGUGCCACAGCUUCUGCCCGUAAGGAGGUCAUCCGCAACAAGAUUCGCGCCAUUGGCAAGAUGGCCAGGGUGUUUUCUGUGCUCAGAGAGGAGAGUGAGAGCGUGCUGACGCUGAAGGGACUGACCCCAACAGGCAUGCUACCAAGCGGAGUGUUGUCCGGUGGCAAAGAAAAGCUGCAGAAUGAAACCGCAGGUAUAAUCGGUUGUGCAAGUAUUCUGUUGUGUUUAUUUUUAUUUUUUCUGUGAGACCAGCUUAGAGUACCGUCCACCCUCUUAUGUUGAAUUCCAAACACUCCCUCAAUGAGUUUGACAAGCGGCCGCAGCCUUCUGGAAACGCCUUUUUUACAAAUACUUCAAAUUGACUGGGAACUCCUGACGAAAACGGUCACUUUAUUGUCCAAAUUGUGAGCACCAGUUGUGGAUCUCAGCGGUGCUCUGUCGGGAUAGACGCGGGACUCUCUGCGAUCCAAAAAGGAUGAAUUGGAAUUGACACAAGCAACUGUGAACGAAAGGGAGAUCACUGCCGUCUGCCUUUCCUUUACAAAACCAAGCAGAAAUCCAGACAACGUCCCUCUCCUCUCCCAGGUUCUCACGCAUCAGCGAGCGCUUUUUGUGUUGAACGCAAAAUCUCUUAUCUUCAUAAGAAUAGGUUCCUCGUUACUUUAAAGCCAGCGUCCGUGACUUUUGCUGGACAGCCAGUGGAAACCAGUAGCAAUCAUGGGAUAAUAGCAAAAUCUAAAAUGAGAGUUAAAGUAUGGUACGUUAAUUUUGUUACAGCAGGCUGUGUUCUAGCAUUUAAAAAAGUUGUUUUUCAUCAUUAGCCACUAGAAUCUUCUGGUUGGGGGAGUCUCCAGCAUCACACCCCCCGUCUUUAAUGGAGCUGAGCAAGAGUUAAGUCUGUUUGAUCACUUUUCAAUUCUAACAUCAAAGAAUGGGUCUUUAUUAAUUUCUGAAGUUCCAUAGUUUCCUUUCAAAGCACAUUAGUUUAAGCUUUAAGACAUUGGAAGAUAGAGAGAACGAUGGGGAAGCGCAGGUUCUGAGCCGGGCCCGCUUCUAAUUCCAUCGUGACCUCUGGUGGGAGGAGAAGUGACCAAAUUGGAAGGAAAUAACAUCUGGACGAAGUUGGCAAUUCUGCGUAUCUCGAUUAGGGAGUACGGGAUGCUCUCCUCUACGGAUGUAUAUGUACGUAAUAAACAAAGCUAUAAAUUCAUAGAAUGGAUCAUAUCCUACACAACCAGCGUCAUUAAUACAUGGCUUUUACCCCACAUUAACUUUUAUAUGUAGAGUUUCACGAGGACUUUGAAGCCAUAUGAUUAUGGAAGUUUAAGAGCAUUUGUAUCCAAGCCAAUCGUGAAGCAGCUGACACUGAGAACCCCGGUGAAGGCAGAGUGGCGUUCACAGAUUCCUGUUGCAACAUUGGUAGAAUCACAUUGCUCCCCUCCUUUUUAAGCAGACGCCAGUGUGCUUCUACUGUAAUGUUGAGUCCAUCAGCCAUUCCGUUCACACUGUGUGGCUCUCGUGCCUUACCUGUAACCUCAUCCUCAUGGUAGUGUGUCCCGUAGGCUUCAGUACUGUACAGCCGCUACUUUACUUUCACCUUCUGCCUCAUCCCUGUCUUUGUGUAACGCUGAUUUACAAUGUUGUACUGUAUUUGUGUGUGUGUGUAUGUAUAUAUAUAUAUAUAUAAUAUAUAUUUAUAUUAUAUAUAUAUUUAUAUUAUAUAUAUAUAUAUUUAUAUUAUAUAUAUUUUUAUAUAUCUAAUGUCAAGGAUGAUUGUAAGAAAUUGGUAAGUGGUUAAAACGUCAAAAGGUUUUCUCCCCUCCUCCCCCACCCCCCUCCUCCCUCGCACCUCACAAAAGUAAGCCAGAUAUUUAUUUAUUUUCAUAUUUCAUAUCAAAAGAUGGUAAUCCUGCAGUUCCAGCCACUGCCUCACGUUGCACACGACACAACGGCAACGCCGCUCCGUGCGUCUGCGGCGCCACCGCCGGGAAACCCACCACCGCACAUCAAUACACCGUUCUCCCAUUCGUCCGAUGUCGACACUCCUUUCUCCAUGUGUGGCCUGCUUUGCGUUAGUCGUGAAGAACUAAUCUAUUUCCAGCUUUAGCCCGUGGUUUCCACUGUCAGUGUCCGUCGUCGCCGUCUUCAUUCAUGUUCUCUCACCGCAUUGAUUCGGUUGUCGGACCUCGUCAGACUUUUCAAAGUACCUCAAAGACGCAAUCCUCUCCAGGAGGUCGCCACACACAUGUGCCACCUUCCCUUUUUACAGAUCUGGAACUCCUCUUACAGCUAAGGCUCAUCCCUCUCCUCUCCUCUCCCUCCUCCUCCCCCUCUCCUCUCUGCUAACAUCCAUGUGUCCUUUGCCAUACAAAUGUGGAGAUGACGUUAACCGCUGUUGCAUCGGUUGCCUUUGCUGCUCAUUGACUUGUACCUCGGACAAAAUGAACUCCUCUGCUCACUUCUCUCAUUCGUUUUGCAACCCCCCUUUUCUUCUCUUCAGCUACUAUUGAAGCUAUUGAGGCUGACGAAGCCAUCAAAGGCUUCUCGCCCCAGCACAAGAUCACCAGCUUCGCGGAGGCGAAGGGUCUGGAUCGCAUC